AUCCCAGAACACUAAAACAACACAUGGAAGAAAAACCAUAAAGCGAAACCCACCUCCCUCCUACUCUCUUCACUUUCUCUUCCAUCUAGGGUUCCCUCUUUAUCUUUCCUAGUUUAAUUUAUUAGUUUAUAGUUUAACUCAAUGGUUGGUUGGUGAAAAAAGCAUGUCCACAUGCCCGAGAGAGAUCCCUCGUUAGCUUCAACAGAAUCUCCCUUUGAUCGUUCCUCUAUUUUCUUUUGUACUUCUGUCAAUGGCGCUUGCUCUGUGAAAGCUGGGAAAAGAAAAAUAUGAUUCAGAAAUCAGGCGGGAAUCCAAUAGAUUAUUAGCUGGACUGGGAAUCUUGAUGACCAUGAAGAUCGGCGGAGCUGUGUUGUUUUGGCUGGUUUUCACUUCGUGAGCAAGAAACUACCUUCUUGUUUUUCGGGGUCUCGGUUUUGAGAUAUGACGUUUUGGAUUGGCUGAAUCGAAUCUAGUGCUAUAUUUAUGUAUUUGCUGUUUCUUAGUGGGGAAACAAGGAUAACUGCGUACCAGUUCAGGCAGCCUCUCUCUCCACAAAC